CUAUUCCUACGGGGGGCAGCAGUGAGGAAUAUUGGUCAAUGGGCGGGAGCCUGAACCAGCCACGUCGCGUGAGGGAAGACGGUCCUAUGGAUUGUACACCUCUUUAGGCGGGGAGCAAUGCCGGGCACGUGUGCCCGGAGGGAGAGUACCCGCAGAAUAAGCAUCGGCUAACUCCGUGCCAGCAGCCGCGGUAAUACGGAUGAUGCGAGCGUUAUCCGGUUUUAUUGGGUUUAAAGGGUGCGUAGGCGGUUUUUUAAGUCAGCGGUAAAAUGUCCGGGCUCAUCCC
rnacentral:rRNA from 1 species